rnacentral:sRNA from 1 species
AAAAAACGAGAUAAAAUAGCGUCGUUUUUAUCUCGGUUUAA